CCCGUUCGCUUGAAGAACCGGGCAACCUUGGGUUUUGUUUUGUUAGCGCGAGAGAUUGAAGCUGCCAGCUUGAUCUAGUCGAGGAUCGACUUGCUGCUCUUGUUGGGUCUACUCCAUGGAGUUGAUCAGGUAUCAACCAGAGAUCAAGAAUGAGUGUUUCAAAGAAAUGAUUUCCUCUACUAGGUCAUCUGGCAGCUUCAAUCACUCGCUCACUAACAAUUGAAUGAUGUUCCAUUUCUUUUCCUCGACAGGAUUCUCUCACAGAACUAGCUAAACAAAGUUGCUAGGUCGUAAACUAUCUGAAACAAAGUGACUUCCUGUGAGAAAUUGAAGGUUUCAAGUUCUUAUAUCGGCAACCACAAAGCUUUUCUAGUGUGGAUAGUGUACAACAAAGAGGCAAAACUGUUUCAUAUCCAUGAUUGUGCAACAAACAAGCAGAACUCAAUAUACAUGAGAGAGAGAGAAACCACAAAACUUGUUCAUGUAAUUUAAGGCUUCAGCUAAUGAGGAACACACAUCUAUAGUCGAAAGUCGUACCGGAAACAAACAAGUCACUAAUUAACCAAAGUAACUGUUUAUUUGUCCCCUGAAUAUGCUAAGGGGCGCAUUAAACUAUCCAGCUAAUGAUGGUACAAUAGUACAUACAUAAAGCAAUAAUUCAUCUAAUUGAUCAAGUGUAUUAAACAUUUUUUUUAAAACAAUUGGGCAAAAUCAUCAGAAUAAAAUAACAACGAGCAUUCUUGAUCGACCUUGAGAAACACUAAGUCUGAUACAGAAACAAAUUUAUGCAAGUGUAAGUCAAGGAAAACCUAUUAAUGAAAUUAUCUUUUACAUAUUUAGAGGCAUAUACUUAAAAGAAGCUAUCGAGAAAACAUGUGAAAUGUCUGACAAGAU